GACGAACGCUGGCGGCGUGCCUAAUACAUGCAAGUCGAGCGAGCAGAUGAGAAGCUUGCUUCUCUGAUGUUAGCGGCGGACGGGUGAGUAACACGUGGGUAACCUACCUAUAAGACUGGGAUAACUCCGGGAAACCGGGGCUAAUACCGGAUAAUAUUUUGAACCGCAUGGUUCAAUAGUGAAAGACGGUUUCGGCUGUCACUUAUAGAUGGACCCGCGCCGUAUUAGCUAGUUGGUAAGGUAACGGCUUACCAAGGCGACGAUACGUAGCCGAGCUGAGAGGGUGAUCGGCCACACUGGAACUGAGACACGGUCCAGACUCCUACGGGAGGCAGCAGUAGGGAAUCUUCCGCAAUGGGCGAAAGCCUGACGGAGCAACGCCGCGUGAGUGAUGAAGGUCUUCGGAUCGUAAAACUCUGUUGUUAGGGAAGAACAAAUUUGUUAGUAACUGAACAAGUCUUGACGGUACCUAACCAGAAAGCCACGGCUAACUACGUGCCAGCAGCCGCAGUAA
rnacentral:rRNA from 1 species